UGGGGAGGGGCGGGCUGG
rnacentral:piRNA from 1 species